UCCACAGUAGAUCAGUGGUAGAGCUAUCGGCUGUUAACCGAUCGGUCGUAGGUUCGAGUCCUACCUGUGGAGCCA
rnacentral:tRNA from 1 species